UCUCCGUAGGUGAACCUGCGGAGGGAUCAUUACAGAGUUCAUGCCCUACCGGGUAGAUCUCCCACCCUAUGUUAUUAUUACUUUGUUGCUUUGGCGGGCCGUUAGGCUCCGGCCCGACUACCGGCCCCGGCUGGUAAGCGCCCGCCAGAGGACCAAAACCCUGAAUAUUAGUGUCGUCUGAGUACUAUAUAAUAGUUAAAACUUUCAACAACGGAUCUCUUGGUUCUG
rnacentral:misc_RNA from 1 species